UGGGGAAUAUUGCGCAAUGGGGGAAACCCUGACGCAGCGACGCCGCGUGCGGGAUGAAGGCCUUCGGGUUGUAAACCGCUUUUGAUUGGGAGCAAGCUUUCGGGUGAGUGUACCUUUCGAAUAAGCGCCGGCUAACUACGUGCCAGCAGCCGCGGUAAUACGUAGGGCGCAAGCGUUAUCCGGAAUUAUUGGGCGUAAAGAGCUUGUAGGCGGUUCGUCGCGUCUGGUGUGAAAGCCCAGCGGUUAACGGUGGGUUUGCGCCGGGUACGGGCGGGCUAGAGUGCAGUAGGGGGGACUGGAAUUCCCGGUGUAACGGUGGAAUGUGUAGAUAUCGGGAAGAACACCAAUGGCGAAGGCAGGUCUCUGGGCUGUUACUGACGCUGAGAAGCGAAAGCGUGGGGAGCGAACAGG
rnacentral:rRNA from 1 species